ensembl:lncRNA
UGAAGCUUCACUGACUAGAGGUGGAUUUUGUUUAUGACAUUCUGGGGAGGAUUUAGAGGUCCAUGAUGGCUUGACAUUACUGGAAAUGACCUCAGAAUGACAUCACGGGUAGAUGCUGGGCAUACAACAAAGAUCAAAUGAGACGUAGCUCCUGUCCUCAUGGGGUCUGCAGCUGAGCGGUGGAGACAGAAAACAAUGAAGCAUGAUGGUGGGAAUGGGAAGGAAGGGAAGGUGACCUGCGGAUGGCUCUUGCAAGAUAGCAUUGGCCCUGACUGUCCUCAAGAAUGCCCGCCUCUCUGAGGAGACUGGAGGAAAUCAGCAGGUGCUAUUCUCUGGCUUAAAGCAAACCAAGUUCCCUGGCCUUGUCCAUGGCUCCUCCCAGGGUGGGGGGGUCACCCUGCCGGUCUGAGGAGUCCCUCAGAGCUGCAUCUCAAAUGUGCAUGCUGGCCCUCAGUUGUGGUUGACAGAGCCCUGGGAGGCCAACCUUGCUCCCAGAGUCUGGAGGGACCCUGGGCUCAGCUGACAGCCAUCUGGGAGCUGGCACCCGUGGAAGCAGAAAUGCUGCCCAAUUUCCCUGGUGCCUCCUCCUGGGUCCUUGGGAGGAGUCUGCUCUCUGGAGCCUGAGGCUGCAGGAAGAGCAUGGUAUGUGGGGACCCAGCCUGCCAGGGCAGAUGCAGACAGCUGGAACCCGUGCUCCCAAGCCUGGCCUAUGCCAGUAGAUGUGUGUUGUGGGGAUGGCAGAGGCCACUUCUGGAAGUUCUGAGGGAUGGAGUUGUCAAAAGAACAAAGCACACUUGUGGAGGACUCUGUCCUACAUGCUGUGCCAAAGCUUAAAUGUAUCAUCCCACUUUCAAGAACACAGGAAUAAACAAACUCAGUUUCUCCUCAAAUCUCAACGAUCAGCACAGAAGACUUUGUUGACUGAAUGUGGGAGGAUCCCUUCCACCAUGCAAUCAAUUCUGCAGGAGACACAAGCUAGGAGUCUCCUAAUUGUCUUCACUUCUGCCCCAUCCAAUUGGAG